CACGUAGUUAGCCGUCCCUUUCUGGUAAGCUACCGUCACAGUGUGAACUUUCCACUCUCACACCCGUUCUUGACCUACAACAGAGCUUUACGAUCCGAAAACCUUCUUCACUCACGCGGCGUUGCUCGGUCAGGGUUGCCCCCAUUGCCGAAGAUUCCCUACUGCUGCCUCCCGUAGGAGUCUGGGCCGUGUCUCAGUCCCAGUGUGGCCGAUCACCCUCUCAGGUCGGCUAUGUAUCGUCGCCUAGGUGAGCCAUUACCUCACCUACUAGCUAAUACAACGCAGGUCCAUCUUGUAGUGGAGCAAUUGCCCCUUUCAAAUAAAUGACAUGUGUCAUCCAUUGUUAUGCGGUAUUAGCUAUCGUUUCCAAUAGUUAUCCCCCGCUACAAGGCAGGUUACCUACGCGUUACUCACCCGUUCGCAACUCAUCCAAGAAGAGCAAGCUCCUCUCUUCAGCGUUCUACUUGCAUGUAUUAGGCACGCCGCCAGCGUUCGU
rnacentral:rRNA from 1 species